rnacentral:rRNA from 1 species
GAUGAACGCUGGCGGCGUGCUUAAUACAUGCAAGUCGAACGGAGAUCAGCAAUGGUCUCAGUGGCGAACGGGUGAGUAACGCGUUGGUAACCUGCCCCGGAGAGAGGGAUAACAGGCCGAAAGGCUUGCUAAUACCGCAUGAGCAGUAGAGGAAUAGCAUCUUUACUGUAAAGGGAUUUGUUCGCAAGAACGCAUUCGCUCUGGGAGGGGCCUGCGACCCAUCAGCUAGUUGGUAAGGUAACGGCUUACCAAGGCGAUGACGGGUAGGGGACCUGAGAGGGUGGCCCCCCACAAUGGAACUGAAACACGGUCCAUACACCUACGGGUGGCAG